rnacentral:rRNA from 1 species
CACGUGAGCAACCUACCCUUGACUCUGGGAUAACAGUUGGAAACAGCUGCUAAUACCGGAUACGACCCCAGCAGGCAUCUGCCGGGGUGGAAAGCUCCGACGGUCAAGGAUGGGCUCGCGGCCUAUCAGCUAGUUGGUGAGGUAACGGCUCACCAAGGCGUCGACGGGUAGCCGGCCUGAGAGGGCGACCGGCCACACUGGGACUGAGAUACGGCCCAGACUCCUACGGGAGGCAGCAGUGGGGAAUAUUGCGCAAUGGGCGAAAGCCUGACGCAGCAACGCCGCGUGCGGGAUGACGGC